rnacentral:siRNA from 1 species
GAUAUACCGAUUGGUGUUGAUGG